GGAUUAGGCAUGCAAGUCGAACGAGGACAUAUCCUUCGGGAUAUAAGCCGAGUGGCGCAAGGGUGAGUAAUGCAUAGAUUACCUGCCUCUAGGAUAAGGACAACUUUGUGAAAACGAAGCUAAUACUUAAUAAUACAAAAGAAAAUAAUUUUCUUUUGUCAAUGGGAGGGUAGCAAUACCUUUUGCCUAGAGAGGGGUUUAUGUCCUAUCAGCUUGUUGGUGGGGUAAUGGCCUACCAAGGCGAAGACGGGUAGCCGGUCUUAGAGGAUGGUCGGCCACACUGGGACUGAGACACUGCCCAGACUUCUACGGAAGGCUGCAGUCGAGAAUCUUUCGCAAUGCCCGAAAGGGUGACGAAGCGACGCCGCGUGAGUGAGGAAGGCCUUAGGGUUGUAAAGCUCUGUCAGGAGUUAAGAAAUAUAAGUGUGUUAAUACCACGUUUAUUUGACGAAGGCUCCAAAGGAAGCCACGGCUAACUCUGUGCCAGCAGCCGCGGUAAUACAGAGGUGGCAAGCGUUGUUCGGAAUUAUUGGGCGUAAAGAGCACGUAGGUGGGUUUGUAAGUCAGAUGUGAAAGCCUUCUGUUCAACGGAAGAAUUGCAUCUGAAACUGCAAGUCUUGAGUGUAGGAGGGGAGAAUGGAACUUCUGGUGGAGCGGUGAAAUGCGUAGAUAUCAGAAGGAACGCCGGCGGCGAAAGCGAUUCUCUGGCCUAUUACUGACACUCAGUGUGCGAAAGCUAGGGGAGCAAACGGGAUUAGAUACCCCGGUAGUCCUAGCCGUAAACGAUGGGCACUAAGUAGAGGGAAUUACCGAUGUUCUCUCUGCCGUAGCUAACGCAUUAAGUGCCCCGCCUGGGGAGUACGGCCGCAAGGCUAAAACUCAAAAGAAUUGACGGGGGCUCGCACAAGCGGUGGAGCAUGUGGCUUAAUUCGAUGCAACGCGAAAAAACCUUACCGGGGCUUGACAUGGUAGAAGUAGGAACCCGAAAGGGUAACGAACGGUAUCCAGUCCAUAGCUAUCACAGGUGUUGCAUGGCUGUCGUCAGCUCGUGUCGUGAGACGUUGGGUUAAGUCCCCUAACGAGCGAAACCCUUGUUUUUAGUUACCAGCGGGUUAUGCCGGGUACUCUAGAAAGACUGCCGUCGUCAAGACGGAGGAAGGUGGGGAUGACGUCAAGUCAUCAUGGCCCUUAUGCCCCGGGCUGCACACGUGCUACAAUGGUCGGUACAAACGGAAGCGAAGCCGAGAGGUGAAGCGAAUCCUAAAAAGCCGAUCUCAGUUCGGAUUGGAGGCUGAAAUUCGCCUCCAUGAAGUUGGAAUCGCUAGUAAUCGCGGAUCAGCAAUGCCGCGGUGAAUAUGUUCCCGAGCCUUGUACACACCGCCCGU
rnacentral:rRNA from 1 species